rnacentral:rRNA from 1 species
UACGUAGGGUGCAAGCGUUGUCCGGAAUUAUUGGGCGUAAAGCGUGCGUAGACGGUCAUGUAAGUCGGGUGUGAAAGCCCCGGGCUCAACCUGGGAAUUGCAUUCGAGACUGCAUGGCUAGGAUGCGGAAGAGGGAAGCGGAAUUUCCGGUGUAGCGGUGAAAUGCGUAGAUAUCGGAAGGAACACCAGUGGCGAAAGCGGCUUCCUGGUCCAGCAUCGACGUUCAGGCACGAAAGCGUGGGGAGCAAACAGG